GACGAACGCUGGCGGCGUGCUUAACACAUGCAAGUCGAACGGAAAGGCCCUGCUUUUGUGGGGUGCUCGAGUUGCGACCGGGUGAGCAACACGUGAGUAACCUGCCCUUGACUUUGGGAUAACUUCAGGAAACUGGGGCUAAUACCGGAUAGGAGCUCCUGCUGCAUGGUGGGGGUUGGAAAGUUUCGGCGGUUGGGGAUGGACUCGCGGCUUAUCAGCUUGUUGGUGGGGUAGUGGCAUACCAAGGCUUUGACGGGUAGCCGGCCUGGGAGGGUGACCGGCCACACUGGGACUGAGAUACGGCCCAGACUCCUACGGGAGGCAGCAGUGGGGAAUAUUGCACAAGGGGCGGAAGCCUGAUGCAGCAACGCCGCGUGCGGGAUGACGGCCUUCGGGUUGUAAUCCGCUUUCGCCUGUGACGAAGCGUGAGUGACGGUAAUGGGUAAAGAAGCACCGGCUAACUACGUG
rnacentral:rRNA from 1 species